UACAGAGGUCACGAGCGUUGUUCGGAUUCACUGGGCGUAAAGGGCGCGUAGGCUGCGGGGCAAGUCGGGUGUGAAAUCUCAGAGCUCAACUCUGAAACUGCACUCGAUACUGCUUUGCUUGAGGACUGGAGAGGAGAUUGGAAUUCACGGUGUAGCAGUGAAAUGCGUAGAUAUCGUGAGGAAGACCAGUGGCGAAGGCGGAUCUCUGGACAGUUCCUGACGCUGAGGCGCGAAGGCCAGGGGAGCAAGCGGG
rnacentral:rRNA from 1 species